UAUUAUUUAUUUUUUUGAAUUAUUGCUUUUCGCCGGCGAUUUUUCCGGCGACCCCUGCUCUUUUCUUCAUAUUCUCUCUUCUACUUUUUGUGGGUGUGUUCUGUUUUCUUGGACAUGUACCUUAUUUUUCCGGCGAGGAUUACCAGCAAGCUACAGUACUUCCGGCGACUCCCAUUCGGACUUUUGGCAGGACGCAACAGAACUACACAUUCCGAUAAUCUGCAGGAAAACUUACCCAGGUACUAGUCGCGGUGGCGAGGCCAGUUCGCGGCGUUUGGGAGUGAAGAGCUAAGCAACACCGGCCGAGACGUGCAAGAGUCGGUAGCAGUUGACCUUGGGC
rnacentral:lncRNA from 1 species